GGGUGUGAUCAUACCUGUAACAAAGCAUCGGAUCCCAUCAGAACUCCGCAGUUAAGCGUGCUUGGGCGAGAAUAGUACUUGGAUGGGUGACCACCUAAGAAGUCCGCGUGCUGCAUCCU